UACACGACCGUACCGCAAACCGACACUGGUGCGCGAGAUGAGUAUUCUAAGGCGCUUGAGAGAACUCGGGAGAAGGAACUCGGCAAAUUGACACCGUAACUUCGGAAGAAGGUGUGCCUUUAGUAGGUGAAGGGAUUUACUCCUGGAGCCCAAUGAGGUUGCAAAAAAUCGGUGGCUGCGACUGUUUAUUAAAAACACAGCACUCUGCAAACACGAAAGUGGACGUAUAGGGUGUGACGCCUGCCCGGUGCUGGAAGAUUAAAUGAUGGGGUGCAAGCUCUUGAUUGAAGUCCCAGUAAACGGCGGCCGUAACAAUAACGGUCCUAAGGUAGCGAAAUUCCUUGUCGGGUAAGUUCCGACCUGCACGAAUGGCGUAACGAUGGCCACACUGUCUCCUCCCGAGACUCAGCGAAGUUGAAAUGUUUGUGAUGAUGCAAUCUCCCCGCGGAAAGACGGAAAGACCCCAUGAACCUUUACUGUAGCUUUGUAUUGGACUUUGAACAGAUCUGUGUAGGAUAGGUGAGAGGCUUUGAAGCGGUGCCGCUAGGUAUCGUGGAGCCAACGUUGAAAUACCACCCUGGUGUGUUUGAGGUUCUAACCUAGGUCCAUUAUCUGGAUCGGGGACAGUGCAUGGUAGGCAGUUUGACUGGGGCGGUCUCCUCCCAAAGCGUAACGGAGGAGUUCGAAGGUACGCUAGUUACGGUCGGACAUCGUGACGAUAGUGCAAUGGCAUAAGCGUGCUUAACUGCGAGACUGACAAGUCGAGCAGAUGCGAAAGCAGGACAUAGUGAUCCGGUGGCUCUGUAUGGAAGGGCCAUCGCUCAACGGAUAAAAGGUACUCUGGGGAUAACAGGCUGAUACCGCCCAAGAGUUCAUAUCGACGGCGGUGUUUGGCACCUCGAUGUCGGCUCAUCUCAUCCUGGGGCUGUAGCCGGUCCCAAGGGUAUGGCUGUUCGCCAUUUAAAGAGGUACGUGAGCUGGGUUUAAAACGUCGUGAGACAGUUUGGUCCCUAUCUUCCGUGGGCGCUGCAGAUUUGAGGAAGCCUGCUCCUAGUACGAGAGGACCGGAGUGGACACACCUCUGGUGUAUCGGUUGUCACGCCAGUGGCAUUGCCGAGUAGCUAAGUGUGGAAGAGAUAACCGCUGAAAGCAUCUAAGCGGGAAACUCGUUUCAAGAUGAGAUCUGCCGGGGCCUUGAGCCCCCUAAAGAGUCGUUCAAGACCAGGACGUUGAUAGGUCAGGUGUGGAAGCGCAGUAAUGCGUUAAGCUAACUGAUACUAAUUGCUCGUGCGGCUUGACCAU
rnacentral:rRNA from 1 species